UGGGGAAUAUUGCACAAUGGGGGAAACCCUGAUGCAGCGACGCCGCGUGAGCGAAGAAGGCUUUCGAGUCGUAAAGCCCUGUCCUAUGAGAAGAUAAUGACGGUAUCAUAGGAGGAAGCCCUGGCUAAAUACGUGCCAGCAGCCGCGGUAAUACGUAUGGGGCGAGCGUUGUCCGGAAUUAUUGGGCGUAAAGGGUACGUAGGUGGUUUUUUAAGUCAGGUGUCAAAGCGUGGAGCUUAACUCCAUUAAGCACUUGAAACUGAAAGACUUGAGUGAAGGAGAGGGAAGUGGAAUUCCUGGUGUAGCGGUGAAAUGCGUAGAUAUUAGGAGGAAUACCGGUGGCGAAGGCGACUUUCUGGACUUUUACUGACGCUCAGGUACGAAAGCGUGGGGAGCAAACAGG
rnacentral:rRNA from 1 species